rnacentral:sRNA from 1 species
AGUCUGGAUACAUUUUGUGUGUGUUGGGGUGUGAGGGAAACAUUUCUUGUAUACUGGCAAGCGUGGCCGACAUUGUGAGAGCAAAUCCUGUCAUCUGGCUCUGCCUCUGCAUACCUGGGCCUGAGGCCCAAGGAUGAGGCUGGGCCUUGCUGUGGCUGCAGCCUGUCCAAGGCUUGUAAAACCGGGAUCUGUUAGGGUCAACCUCAAAGCUGUCCUUUUCUUUCUGCUGAGGUUAGGUUCUGACAGGGAGACAACAGCAAAUACAAGAGAAGAUUGAGCAGAACCGACGGGCACAAGAGGAAUCCCUGAAACACAGGGAGCAACUUAUUCGAAAUCUUGAGGCGGCGAGAGAGUCGGCUCGUCGUGAGAAAGAGGAGAAUGAAGAGCUGAAAUCGGCCAGGAAGCAGGAGCUGGAAGCCCAGGUAGGGCUGAGCCCGAGGGCGGGAGGCACCGGGCCUGCCGGGUUCUUGCAUCAUCACAGGACAGGGUUCAGAGGCCCUGGACCGUCUGGCAGGGCUUGCGCGCGUUUGAGAGCACAGUGCUCCCGUUUGCAUCCCGGCUGCAGUCCUCAUCCUCUUGACUGUGGCUUCUUUCCCUCCACAUCCUCCAUGUCAUGUGGGUGAGGCCGGCACUGCUGUCUGUUCUCUUUACCCUGUCUGCUUCUGCAAGCGGUUGGCUUACCGGGGGCCAUAGUUCUCUCUUCAUUUCAGUCCCUGAUACAUAAGACAGAACAGCUCUCCAAACACCCGGCCACGUGCCGAGCUUUUCGCGAGGUACACGCCACGCAUACGUACAGCCUCUCCAGCUUUCCAUGAGGUACACACCACACAUACAGCCUCUCCAGCUUUCCACGAGGUACACGCCAUGCAUACAGCCUCUCCAGCUUCCACGAGUACCCUCAUACAGCUUUCCAGCUUUCUAUGAGGUACAUGCCAUGCAUACAGCCUCUCCAGCUUUCCAUGAGGUACACGCCACGCGUAUAGCCUUUCUAGCUUUCCACAAGGUACACGCCAUGCAUACAGCCUCUCCAGCUUUCUACAAGGUGCACACCAUGCGUACAGCCUUUCAAGUCCCGCAUGCUCCCUUCCGUUCCUUGGCACGUGCAUUGCUGUUGCUCAGCUGGAUUCUCCUCCAGUCUGGGUAGGGCCGCAGGCUUACCUUCCUCAUCAGAGGCAGGGCUCUGCCCUGUGGGCCUUGUCUUGGGGUGGUGACUUAGCUCUUGGCACCCAGGUUGCGGAGCGCCGGCUGCAGGCAUGGGAAGCAGACCAGCAGGAGAAGGAGGAAGAGGAGGAGGCCCGGCGGGUGGAGCAGCUCUCAGAUGCCCUGCUGCAGCAGGAAGCGGAGACUAUGGCCGAGCAGGGCUACCGGCCUAAGCCUUACGGACAUCCAAAAAUUGCUUGGAACUGACUUCAUGGGUACCAUAAGUACAGAGAACAAGGGAUGCUGAGGCUUCUGAUCCCAGCCGCCAGGCAGUUUUACAGGGCUCUGUUACAGUCAGUGCCCGGGGCACUGUCAGAUGGCUCAGCAGUGCCUGCUCAGGUUCAUCAUUGAAAGCAUCCAGUGUUUGUCCAGACAUUAAGGUGUUGUGGUCUGCAGCACCUGGUGAGAGGCCCUUUCAUGCCUUUCUUACCCAAGCAAGGGUCUUUGAUGGGCACAUGUUUACAGCGCUGCCGCAUAGUCUUGUAAUAUAUUAACAGUCACAUCAACUCAAGGUCAAUACUAAGAGCCACAGGUUGUACCUGUGAUGGGGCACGUGGUUUCCUGUUGUCUCACCUUUAAUUGUCAACCUCCAGUGUUGAGUCUAAAAAUAUGAGGAAAGCUUUUCAGUUUUUAAAAUUGCCAUUUAAAUUUAGUCUAUUAAAAACAAACCUAGAGGUCUUGGUGCAGUUGAUUUCAGAAUUUAUUAAUUUAAUGGUCCCAAAAGGAUUACAUCUUUUAUAUUCUGGAAGAAAAGAACUGUGAACAAAUUAGAACCCCGGAACACUCUGACGUCCGUGGAUGCAUUCCAGAAAAGUGGCAAGAGAUGAGUCUUUCCUCCUUCAGGAAGCAUUUUGGUAGAAUUUCCAUAGAGCAUUGUCUGUGAGUGACUGAUCCAACAUGUAUGUUACCAAGCCCCAAAAGGAACCUCAAACUGGGUGUGGUGGCACGUGCCUGUAGUCCCAGCUACCCAGGAGGCUGCAGCGAGAGGAUUGCUUGAGCCCAGGAGUUCGAGUCCAACCUGGGCAAAAGAGUGAGACCCCAUCUCUAAAACAAACCAAAAAGGUACCUUAGAAGGUCACCUGGUUGGCAAACCUUUUAAAGGCAGGGGCGUGACACGUAGGACACAUUGGGAAUGUCUUGGCUACACGUAGCCUUCUGGGAUAUAUGUGCCCAGAGGGAGAAGCACUGAGCCUGAAGAAACUAAAUGAGUCUCAGAACCACAGACCAGCCAGAAAUCUCUCCCACCAUUAUAUCAGCGUGAUACAGGUCUACAUUCAUUUCUACAAACAGGAACAAGUUCCUUGCAGCAAUAUUAUUUUAUGACUUGUAUUUCUACUAUACUCUUCCUCUGAGGUUUAGUUUUCAUCACAUUAUGUUCAAGAUUCCAUAUCUCCAUAAAUUACAGCUAAUUACAGGGCAUUGUUCCAUGGUUAUUAAAAACCAGAGUUUAUUAAAAAUCCUGAGUCUAAGGGCUGCCUUACCUUUCACUUCCACCAUCCUGUAGAAACAGAUCAAGCUGCAAACCACGUCCUUCAUCUGUUGUUCAUUUUCUUGCAACUGUUUGACUCUGAUCCCCUGAGCAGCACGUUCAUCACGCAUGCUCUCUGUUGCGUUCCCCGUUUCAGAUGUCCAGUAAUGGUGAAAUAAAAUCCUGCUUCGACA